UUUUAACUCGGCCGGCCACUGGUAAGACGCUCAGCGGGAGAAGUUAGGGAGCAGGGCGGGUCGCUUUCGAGGGAUUUUCAUGACCAUCGUGAAAAGACUCUUGAUAAGAAAUAUUUAUUGCCCUGUGUGGCAAGAGCAAGCAUUUCAUCCCAGCAUACAGGAGGCAGAGCAGUGCCAACAGUGGACCAAAAAGAAAACUCAGCCUCCAUUCUUCCCCUUUUUUUCAGCCCAUAACAGUUUGGUGGGGAGAAGAGGUCAGAGAAUAAACUAGUGACAUUCAUUUUUAACAUUGAUUAAAGAACACCUCUUUCUUCAUUAGGGUUUUACUGAUGUGAACAGACACCAUGACCAAGGAUGAACAGCAACUUCCAGCGCUCUGAAAUCUAGCCAGAAGAUUAGUACCAGGUUUAUUUGUUCAUAUGAUUAAAGUUCAUGGAGUUCUCAGCAAGUGGAUCUUACUGU
ensembl:processed_transcript